UCAAAAAACCACAACAGUCUGUUUCAUCCGUAUACGGAUGAAACAGACUGUUGUGGUUGUGGCAUGAUUCCUAUACGGAUGAAACAGACUGUUGUGGUUUU